rnacentral:misc_RNA from 1 species
GAUGAAGAACGUGGCGAAAUGCGAUAAGUAGUGUGAAUUGCAGAAUUCAGUGAAUCAUCGAAUCUUUGAACGCACAUUGCGCCCCUUGGUAUCCCGAGGGGCAUGCCUGUUCGAGCGUCAUUUCACCACUCAAGCCUGGCUUGGUGUUGGGCGACGUCCCCUUUGGGGACGCGCCUCGAAACGCUCGGCGGCGUGGCACCGGCUUUAAGCGUAGCAGAAUCUUUCGCUUUGGAAGUCGGGGCCCCGUCUGCCGGAAGACCUACUCGCAAGGUUGACCUCGGAUCAGGCAGGGAUACCCGCUGAACUUAAGCAUAUCAAUAAGCGGAGGA